AUUCCAUAAUGUGGGAAUUUUCUUUACAACUCCUUAAAUCGUUCCCAUGCAUCAUACAAAGACUCCCCAUUCAGUUGAUGGAAGUUAUUAAUAUCUCCUCUUAUUCU